GUCGAGAAUCUUUCACAAUGGGGGCAACCCUGAUGGAGCGACGCCGCGUGGGGGAUAAGGUCUUCGGAUUGUAAACUCCUGUCAUGCGUGAACAAGGUUGCUUGGUUAAUACCUGGGCAAAUUGAUGGUAACGCAAGAGGAAGAGACGGCUAACUCUGUGCCAGCAGCCGCGGUAAUACAGAGGUCUCAAGCGUUGUUCGGAAUCACUGGGCGUAAAGGGUGCGUAGGUGGCGUGGUAAGUCAGAUGUGAAAGCCCGGGGCUCAACCUCGGAACUGCAUCCGAUACUGCCAUGCUAGAGUACUGGAGAGGUGACUAGAAUUCUCGGUGUAGCAGUGAAAUGCGUAGAUAUCGAGAGGAAUACCAAAGGCGUAGGCAGGUCACUGGACAGUUACUGACACUGAGGCACGAAGGCCAGGGGAGCGAACGGGAUUAGAUACCCUGGUAGUCC
rnacentral:rRNA from 1 species